UUUUAACAGCAAGCUGUCAUUCAACAUUUGGUGGCGAAGGGAAAAAAAUAUCAAAAAUAUCCAUACAACCAGCUGGUCCUUCUCUUCCCUGGCCUUCCCACUCAGCCUGUCCCCCCACCCUGCCCAUUCAUAAUAUCUUGAGAGGGCUGAGCUGAUGAUCUUUACAAAUUGUAAUAUUUUUGUAAUAUUUGUUAGUUUUCAUCAGUUCUAUGGGACUUUGCUCUUUACUUUUGUAAUGUGAGUAGGAAAAAAAGAUUAAAAAAAAAAAGAAGGAAAAAAGAAAAAGACAAAAAAAAAUGUUUACUACCAACAGCAAAAUGCCCCUUUGUGUGUGUGUGUGUGUGUGUGUGUGUGUGUGUGUGUGUGUGCACUCUGUGUAUGUGGUUAUGUGUGAAGUCACACUGUGUUGUCUGUGCUAGUGUCUCACUGUUGGAUAUUACUCACUCAGCACCAACCUGCCCUAUGCAUCCCUGAGGGCUUCAGGGAUCCUGGUGAGAGCCAGGGGCAGCUAGAAGGGGUACCUCUAUAUACUGUUCCCUUCCCUCUGUUCCCCCUACAGCCCUAGACACCCCAAGAAAGUCCAACAUGCCUGUUCCCCUUCCAUUGCAUUUCCUCUUUCUCAACAUGCCUCUCCUACAAAGAGGAAAUGGUUCUAAAGUUUCCAGAGCCUUCUCUGCCAGGCCUGAUGACCAUCGGGAAGGUAGGAAGCUUCCAGGAGGCCUUCUUGGUGUCUGCAGUGCAGGAAGUCAGGGAGGCUAGGGGGGUGGAUGCAUUUCCCUUCUUAGGGAAGCACAGACUGUAUUUCCUCCCUUCAUCUCUGAGCCUCCUGGCUUGGUACCCCUCUGCCUUCAGCACCCCUCUGCCCUCUGUUUUCUUACAGUACCCAGGCUUGCUACUGCCUUAUCCAGUCUGGUGAACCUUCUUUAGCCUAGCAAAUCCAAGCUGCUUAACAGUCCCUUCCCCUGCCCAGCUCCUAUGAGUGAGUCCCUUAAUGCUAUUGGUGACCCUUUACUCACUCAGUGUUCCUUCCCUAUUCACUCCUUUGCUCAUUUAAAGCAUUAAAAUCCUAUGUGUAUAUAGGAUAGACAAAUAUAUAUAUAUAGAGAGAGAGAUAUAGCAAGAGAGAUAUAAAAUAGAAAAUGUCAUUGCUUGGCUGCUUUACAGGAGGCCACAAAGAAGAGGAAGGCAGAUCUGGGGCACAAGGGUGGACCAGGGACUGGGGAACCCAGUGAUUCAGUACAAUCCAGGGUUGUGACACGGGCUUGUUUAAUCUUUGUGCCUGAACAGUUUUUCCAUGUUGAGAAAAGAAAGAAAGAAAGAAAGAAAGAAAGAAAGAAAGAAAGAAAGAAAGAAAGAAAGAAAAAAAACGCUGCAAUUUUUCACAAGUGUGUGGUAUGCUUCUGGGUGCUAUGGGUACAAGGUGGAAGGGCCACGGGGGCCCUGCUUAGAAGAGCAAGCAGGGGCAGCUUUUGGUUUGGGGCCAUGUGAGGGGGAGGGAAAGUAGAGUGGGCAGACUUUGGCCAAUACCCUGGCAAGUCAGACUAGAGUGGAAACUGGGGGCACCAGGAUGCAAGACAAACAAUCCAGAACUAUCUGGGGCUCAAGUCAUGAAUUUUUUCCUUGACCCGUUGUCAUCUUUUCCCUUCCACCUCAUCUCCUUCUCCCCUAGCACUUCUGGCUUGGGUGCUGGGACUGCACUUACCUGGAGAUGCCCAUGGGCAGACAAACAGCAAGACUAACCCUACGUGAUGGGAUAGAUGAGAAGAGUCAAAAAAUAAAAAUAAAAAUAAAAAAGUAAGAGAAGCCCAAGAAACAGGUGCAGGACAAACCAGAUAGACUCGGUCAGAGGAAAGGAUGAGGAAAAAAGAGUGCAAGUCCCAGCCAGCCUGCCUGCCUGCCAGCCAGCCGCAGCGCGACUCCCCUUGGCUCCUGGGCAGCCCACUUUGCAGACAGGGUCCCUUCUCCCCGUGUGUAACAUAGUCUUUGUUCACAUAGUGUUAUGCAUGAUCCUUGUAAGGUGAAGAAGCCGUGGUGAUGUACCAUGCCAUCCGCCCUAUAUAUAAAGAUAAAUAAAUAUAUAUAUAUAUAUGUAUGUAAGUUAUAGCACUGAGGGCUCCGCGGCCCUGCUGGACCAAGCAAAACUAAGCCUUUUGGUUUGGGUAAUAUGUUUGUUUUUUAUUUUCUUUUUUUUGUGGCUUGUCUUAUGUCGUGAGAGCACAAGUGCCAGUCCGAUUGCUUUGUAUCACAGAAUAGUGUUUUUAAUUCAUCAAUGUUCUAGUUAAUGUCUACCUCAGCACCUCCUCUUAGCCUGAGUCUAGGAGGUUGCCCGAUUUUGUUUCUUCAAUUGUAUUGGUUCCUUUUUUGUACAAAUCAAUCUCUCUACCCUUCUCUUUUUUCCCCCUCCCUCCUCUCCCCCCUCCUCUCACCUCCCCUUCCCCCAGUCAAGCUUGCCAGUUCUUUCUGUCCACUCGAAGUUGUGUGCUCCCGGUUGCAGCUUUUCCGCACCUGCCUUCGUGUAGAUUGAUGCGUUUCUUUGUAAUUUCGGUGUUUCUGACAAGACUUAAAAGGAAAAAAAAAAGGAAAAAAUGAAUUUACUGCUGCAGGUUUUUUUCUCUCUCCAUGUGUCACUAAGUGAAGUUUGUGCCUUCUAUAGCAAAGAGAAUAUUUUUUACAUCCUACUAACAGUAGAUUUUUUUGUAGUGAACAUUUUUUGUAUUUUUAUUUAUAAGUCUCAUAAGAAAAAUAGCAAUGUUCAGUUGUAUACCUUGAAUCUGCAGUUAGCAAAGAAUAAAGUUAAUUCAGUUGUCUCUGG